ensembl:rRNA 5S_rRNA 5S ribosomal RNA
GCUUACGUCCAUACCAGCCCAACAACGCCCGGUCUCGUCUGAUCUCGGAAGCUAAGAAGGCUUGGGCCUGGUUAGUACUUGGAUGGGAGACCUCCUGGGAAUACCAGGUGCUGUAAGCU